AGCGAACGCUGGCGGCAGGCCUAACACAUGCAAGUCGAACGAACCUUUCGGGGUUAGUGGCGGACGGGUGAGUAACACGUGGGAACGUGCCUUUAGGUUCGGAAUAACUCAGGGAAACUUGUGCUAAUACCGAAUGUGCCCUUCGGGGGAAAGAUUUAUCGCCUUUAGAGCGGCCCGCGUCUGAUUAGCUUGUUGGUUGAGGUAAUGGCUCACCAAGGCGACGAUCAGUAGCUGGUCUGAGAGGAUGAUCAGCCACAUUGGGACUGAGACACGGCCCAAACUCCUACGGGAGGCAGCAGUGGGGAAUCUUGCGCAAUGGGCGAAAGCCUGACGCAGCCAUGCCGCGUGAAUGAUGAAGGUCUUAGGAUUGUAAAAUUCUUUCACCGGGGACGAUAAUGACGGUACCCGGAGAAGAAGCCCCGGCUAACUUCGUG
rnacentral:rRNA from 1 species